rnacentral:rRNA from 1 species
UGGGGAAUUUUCCGCAAUGGGGGGAACCCUGACGGAGCAACGCCGCGUGGGGGAGGAAGGUCUGUGGAUUGUAAACCCCUUUUCUCUGGGAAGAAGGUCUGACGGUACCAGAGGAAUCAGCAUCGGCUAACUCCGUGCCAGCAGCCGCGGUAAGACGGAGGAUGCAAGCGUUAUCCGGAAUUAUUGGGCGUAAAGCGUCCGUAGGCGGUUUAUCAAGUCCGCUGUCAAAGACUGCAGCUCAACUGUGGACCGGCAGUGGAAACUGAUGAACUAGAGUGCGGUAGGGGUAGAGGGAAUUCCCAGUGUAGCGGUGAAAUGCGUAGAUAUUGGGAAGAACACCAGUGGCGAAGGCGCUCUACUGGGCCGCAACUGACGCUGAGGGACGAAAGCUAGGGGAGCGAAAGGGAUUAGAUACCCCUGUAGUCC